AACGAACGCUGGCGGCAUGCCUAACACAUGCAAGUCGAACGAGACCUUCGGGUCUAGUGGCGCACGGGUGCGUAACGCGUGGGAACCUGCCCUUAGGUUCGGAAUAACUCCCCGAAAGGGGUGCUAAUACCGGAUAAUGUCUUCGGACCAAAGAUUUAUCGCCUUUGGAUGGGCCCGCGUUGGAUUAGCUAGUUGGUAGGGUAAAAGCCUACCUAGGCGACGAUCCAUAGCUGGUCUGAGAGGAUGAUCAGCCACACUGGGACUGAGACACGGCCCAGACUCGUACGGGAGGCAGCAGUGGGGAAUAUUGGACAAUGGGCGAAAGCCUGAUCCAGCAAUGCCGCGUGAGUGAUGAAGGCCUUAGGGUUGUAAAGCUCUUUUACCCGGGAUGAUAAUGACAGUACCGGGAGAAUAAGCUCCGGCUAACUCCGUG
rnacentral:rRNA from 1 species